rnacentral:rRNA from 1 species
GUGGCGCACGGGUGCGUAACACGUAUGCAACCUACCUUAUACUGGGGGAUAGCCUUUGGAAACGGAGAUUAAUACCCCAUAGUACAUUUGAUUGGCAUCAAUUAAAUGUUAAAGAUUUAUCGGUAUAAGCUGGGCAUGUGUCCAAUUAGUUAGUUGGUGAGGUAAUGGCUCACCAAGACUUUGAUUGGUAGGGGAACUGAGAGGUUAAUCCCCCACACUGGCACUGAGAUACGGGCCAGACUCCUACGGGAGGCAGCAGUAGGGAAUAUUGGGCAAUGGAGGCAACUCUGACCCAGCCAUGCCGCGUGCAGGAAGAAGGCGUUAUGCGUUGUAAACUGCUUUUAUAUAGGAAGAAAUAGUCCUUGCGAGGAAAGUUGACGGUACUAUAUGAAUAAGCACCGGCUAACUCCGUGCCAGCAGCCGCGGUAAUACGGAGGGUGCAAGCGUUGUCCGGAUUUAUUGGGUUUAAAGGGUGCGUAGGCGGUUUAUUAAGUCAGUGGUGAAAGACGGUCGCUCAACGAUUGCAGUGCCAUUGAUACUGGUAGACUUGAGUGGGAUUGAGGUAGCUGGAAUGGAUAGUGUAGCGGUGAAAUGCAUAGAUAUUAUCCAGAACACCAAUUGCGUAGGCAAGUUACUAAGUCUCAACUGACGCUGAGGCACGAAAGUGUGGGUAUCAAACAGGAUUAGAUACCCUGGUAGUCCACACUGUAAACGAUGAUAACUAACUGUUGGCUUUCGGGUCAG